UUGCACUGUAGAUGGGUGAUGCUGCGCAUUAGGUCUCCCGCGGAUGUUAGUUUCGUCGUUUUAUUUUUACGUGUUAAAUUCUCUUCCACCGCUUCUUGCCGGUGAUUUUCUAUUUUACAUCCGGUUGCUUCCGGUUUCUCAUGCCUUCUCGUAUUUAUUUACUACACGGUUCCCAGUUUCCCGGUCGCCAGUUAUUGUGCCGCUUCUACCUAUCUCGAGGCGUACUCUUCCGCCUCUUUACGGCCACGUGCCGUGACCCUGGCUUUCCACCGCAGGAGCUUCUCUCCAGAAAUCCAAAUUGUUCUUUUCUCUUGCCCAGAUCUUCCAUCGACAGCUCCACCUCUAUCUAUCCAAAAAUAUAUCUCCAUCUCCAUUGGAUCUCCUAGCUGGGCUCUUCACCACCUACCUGAAACACAGGAGCCCCUACCCGUCGGCCUGCCCCUGUUCAGCGGCCAUGCCUAGGUUCAGUCCUCUCAAGCGUUGCGCCCGACACCGACGCGCUCCGGUUCCCGGUGCAGCUGCUCGCCUGAACAGUGGCCACUAGGCCCACUAUGGUACUGGUACAUGGUGGCGCAUGGCCGCAAUCCCGCACGUGCGAGCGGCAGCGACCGUGGAGUGCAGCGGCGGACCGAGCUCCGCCUUCCACACCCUGUCGCGGCCCUGGAUCCUCCGAGCUUGGGGCACGCGAGGUGGCGUGGCUCAACGGGCGGUCUCAUGUUCUCUGACGGCAACGGCCGAGGAGGACGUCCUCCUGCAGCCGUAUCCCACCUCUCCCCUGUCAACAUCUAGCUUCAGCCGGUUAUCCUCCUCCUCAUUCCUCAGCUCGGUAUCCACCGCCGGGAGUCAUCUACUAUUCUGCGCGAUUUCCUCGCACCUCCCAAGUCCGUCGCCCUGCAGCCUCCGGUCAGACUCGAUGCAGAUGACAUCCGCCGCCGCGUCCUGCUCAGCUGCUCGCCUUGGUUACAGAGAAAACUGCGGUGGCCACCACGAGGUCGAGGGAGAUGGCGACCACGCGCUCUGACGGUGGCCUACUCCACCUCGCCGCCCCUGCCCCGUGGACAGCGUCCUCAACGCCCAGGUGUCAUCUCCUAUGGGCCGGCACCCUCGAGCCAUCCCUGAUGCAGCGGAGCCAUCGACGUGAGACUUUCAGGUGUUUUCCUCUUGGUACCAUUGCUGAUCGGUUCGUCCGUGUGUCCGAGUAACGCCAACGGCCGCGCAGAGCCCCGUCGUCUGAUGUGCAGCGGAGGCGGCCCGGAGAGAUCGGUUCUUCUCCUGGUUUGUCGGCCCUGUUCACGUGUCGCCGGUGUGCUGCUCCACGGGAGACUGACGCUAGGGGCAGUAUUGCGCAGGCAGCGACGCAUCGUGGGUCCGUUGUUUUGGCCCCCGAUGCCAGCACUACAACUGCCUGCUCCGGCUUUUUGAGAGUGGCCUUGACUGGGAGCCGCCCCACCACCGCCGGGAAGGCGACGAGGACGCUCAUGAAGGAUUGCCGUCUUGCCGAUGUGUGUCUCCUCGUGCUUCAAGACGGAAGCAUAGUCUGGAUCUCAUUGGUGGUGGUUUUAGAUGCCAGGGUGCCAAUUUCUUUUGUGCAAAUGAGAAUCUGUGUAUGUUUGACAGGAGGUCAACUGCAUCUUUAUUUUGGUUGAGUUUUUGCAAGAUCACAGGUAAUCGCAUAAUUGUUUUUUUUUUCUAUAGCUCAGUAGUAUUAGUCAUGGGAAGCGAUUCUUCCAUUUUGUUUCAGAAAACAAAGUUAGACAUGUUCAUUGCACUGAUUUCUGAAUAGUAGUAUCUUUUCCGCUUGGGAUUUCCUAAUUCAACAACUAUGUGUGGCCUCCUGCUUUGGCAACAAAUAAAUGGAUCAACCUCCAUGACUCAUCCAUCAAAUGACACUCUAAAACCACCACAAAAUACCAGGAUUUCAGCCGCCACAUCUUCCGAGGACACUAUAGUGAUGGUCUAUUCAGAACUGGGUGAUGUAAACACAUACAAAUUCUAUCUAGGUGUGCAAAAACUGACAUCAAUAUAUCAUCUUAUGUAUUACCAUUCUUUAUAUGCAACGAAACAAACAGAACACUUGACACCAGGAAAAUGAACUCGAGAACAGCUGCUGCACCAGCCAAAAAAAGGUCUACUUUUGAAUCAGCUUCAUUCUUGCGAAGUUGUACUAGCAGCUCAGUGUAUACUCAUUGUCUACAAUCCAACCAAUGAGAAAAAACAAAUCUAAGGAAUUGUGACCAUCCAAAUAGGUAACUACGCCUUGCCAGGUAAAAGAUAUGUUUCAGUAAAUGGUAUAGGUCACAGUAUUUUGACGAAAUGCAGCUUGACUGCUUUCAUUGCGCUUAGAAGAGGGAAAAGUACAAACGGAAGGAGACCUUCCUCAGGUACCAAGUUAGGCCAAAGAAGCCUGGUCACAGUAAAGCAAAUAACAUUAAUUCAAUGCUCUUUUCCUUGCAGCAGAUAUAAGAGUUCGAGAAUGGCACGCAGGCACUGUAAUAUUAGGUACCUUAUAAAACUACUGCUCAGUAUAUGACAUAGGCCAUGUUAUUAUUAGGUGGCGGUUCACGGCAUGGUUUGGGGAGUUCCAUGCAUCGAGCAAAAGCAAGUGACCCCCGCCCUAUUUUCAGGAGGCCGGAAGUACUUUAGCAAAAGCAAAGUAAAUAUUCAAGUAUAUAUGCAGUAAGCAAAAAAAAAAACAAGCGCCAAAUGAUCAUUAUUAGUACCUAACCUGCUCUGAUUGCAUUCAUUUCAGUAGCUAGCUCAUCCUUCGUGUAAUAUUGUUGUUCAUAGUUAUUGAUUUGCUUAGCCCAUUUCAGUAACUUUUUCCCCUUAAAAUCCAGCACCUAUACGACCUUCAGGUGUGGAGUCAGAUGCAAGGCAACAAAUAUUGUAGUUGUUCCUACACACACUUAGUUCCUUCCAUUAUCUGAUUAGAUGGCAUUAUACUGUAGAUGGGUACAGAGUCAUGGAGGUUCAUCAAGUGUGAUUAGUAUAAGGCAACCUUGAACAUUACUGGUUCUGAAACAUGCCAUGGUCAGAUCAGCAGCUCCAAUGGAGAUGACACCUAAGGUUAUACGCUGUAAGGUUCAGGAUGCAACAAGGUUAGCAUGAAUGAAAAUUUUCGUCCUGCAUUGUUUCUGUGGGCUAAGAUAAUGAUUUUUUUUUUGGCCUUCACAGAACUUCCUUUGUUCAGUAGAAAUAUAUGUGAGUUGAGGAUUAUGUUGAUUCUUUCCUGCAGUUGGAGUAUUGUUUUUAUGCAUGACAUCCGUUUAAUGGAAUGCUUAAUGUUAAUGAUAUGCAUAGGUGUUAUUUUUUCUCAACUGAACUAUUUUGUAGCUUCAGUUCAGUUUUGAUUUUUCCCUACGUUUUGAACAUUCAUGUUAUAUACAGUAACUGUAUCUUCGUGGCCAUCCGGAGUAUGGUGCUUUUGUAAGGAUUUAGGAAUGUACUAAUUAGGCGUUUAUUUAUUGCGUCCACCUUAGUCUUUGGGCUAUAGUUCAGAAAAGACAGUUCAUCCAUUAUUUUCCUCUCUUCCUUACUAAUUGUAGUACUCGAAAUGCGGAAUCCAUUAUUUUCCUCUGUUCCUUCCUAAUUGAAUUGCUGGAAACACGGAAGGUUCGAGUUAAUGGUACGGAUGUACAUUCUAUUAUAUUAGUCUAUACAAGAGUAGUAAAUAUAGAUUCUUCUAUAUUUGUGUUUGCUUUGCUCCACUCUAUGUAAAAUGCUUGGUUAUUUUUAGCAACCAAUGCAUAGGUUCACAUGUCAAAACAUGGAUAGACAUUAUUGUCUUGCUCAGUUUAUGCAAUUUGCCGUCCUUUUUUAUUUAUUUUGUUUUUACCUCCAGGAAGCCUCCCAUUCUCUGAAUUAUGUAUAUGCCAGUGUUUCGUUUUAACAAUUUCAAUAUUUGUAUAUCUCUGUCGCCUGCUACAGUAUGUUAGUGUCUUAUUUUCAGUUAUCUUUCAGUUCCCAGCCAGUGCUUAGUUGGUUCUUUUUCAAAUUAAGAGGUAAGGUAGUUUUAUUUACUUUUAUGGUAUAUGAUAUAGCCGUGUUAGACUUCAUGUGUCAUCAGACCGACCUACCGUACCGCCUACAUUUAGAAGCAGCAUGGUUUAACGCUUCCACUCUCUUGGCAAAAAAAUAAUAUCUUUCUUGCCCGUAGGAUUGUGCUCUAUAAUUCUGAUGCUAAGACAAAUACGACGUAUAUUUGAUGGCAGCGCAGGAACACCAAGGGCGCGGCGUGCGCCGCGCCGCAAACUUCCUAGUACUAUAUAUAAAAGCUGAAGGGGUUUGCCCUCACCACAUUGAUUCAGGCACUGUUCAUGUGCAUAUGAACAGUACUCCAGCCAUUUUUUUCGUUUUCUUUUAGAAUAUUUUUUAGAUUUCCUGAUUCUAAUUUUUUAGAGUUUUCGAUAAUGAUUUCUCUAGCAAUUUCUCGUGUUAACUAUUAAGCAGUAAUUCUUCGUGAGGCUGUAAUUACAUGUAUUUUUCCAAAAGCGGUUUCUUGAAUCAAUGUUAUA